rnacentral:rRNA from 1 species
GAUGAACGCUGGCGGCGUGCCUAAUACAUGCAAGUCGAGCGAACAGAUAAGGAGCUUGCUCCUUUGACGUUAGCGGCGGACGGGUGAGUAACACGUGGGUAACCUACCUAUAAGACUGGGAUAACUUCGGGAAACCGGAGCUAAUACCGGAUAACAUUUGGAACCGCAUGGUUCUAAAGUGAAAGAUGGUUUUGCUAUCACUUAUAGAUGGACCCGCGCCGUAUUAGCUAGUUGGUAAGGUAACGGCUUACCAAGGCAACGAUACGUAGCCGACCUGAGAGGGUGAUCGGCCACACUGGAACUGAGACACGGUCCAGACUCCUACGGGAGGCAGCAGUAGGGAAUCUUCGGCAAUGGGCGAAAGCCUGACGGAGCAACGCCGCGUGAGUGAUGAAGGGUUUCGGCUCGUAAAACUCUGUUAUUAGGGAAGAACAAAUGUGUAAGUAACUGUGCACGUCUUGACGGUACCUAAUCAGAAAGCCACGGCUAACUACGUG